UACGUAGGGGGGCGAGCGUUUGUCCGGAUUUAUUGGCGUAAAGAGCUCGUAGGCGGUUUGGCAAGUCGGGUGUGAAAACUCCGGCUCAACUCGGAGACGCCACUCGAUACUGCUAUGACUCGAGUCCGGUAGGGGAGUGCGGAAUUCCUGGUGUAGCGGUGAAAUGCGCAGAUAUCAGGAGGAACACCGGUGGCGAAGGCGGCACUCUGGGCCGGUACUGACGCUGAGGAGCGAAAGCGUGGGGAGCAAACAGG
rnacentral:rRNA from 1 species